rnacentral:rRNA from 1 species
GGGUUGUAAACCUCUUUUAUAUUAGAAUAAAGUGCAGUAUGUAUACUGUUUUGUAUGUAUAAUAUGAAUAAGGAUCGGCUAACUCCGUGCCAGCAGCCGCGGUAAUACGGAGGAUCCGAGCGUUAUCCGGAUUUAUUGGGUUUAAAGGGAGCGUAGGUGGGCUGGUAAGUCAGUUGUGAAAGUUUGCGGCUCAACCGUAAAAUUGCAGUUGAUACUGUCAGUCUUGAGUACAGUAGAGGUGGGCGGAAUUCGUGGUGUAGCGGUGAAAUGCUUAGAUAUCACGAAGAACUCCGAUUGCGAAGGCAGCUUGCUGGACUGUAACUGACGCUGAUGCUCGAAAGUGUGGGUAUCAAACAGGAUUAGAUACCCUGGUAGUCCACACAGUAAA